rnacentral:ncRNA from 2 species
GAAAGUCUUCAGGGCAGGGUGAAAUUCCCGACCGGUGGUGAUAGUCCACGAGCAGAUGCAGAAAAGGUGCAAUUCCUUUACCGAUAGUGAGAGUCUAGAUGGAAGAAAGACAUUU